rnacentral:rRNA from 1 species
UUAAGCGACUAAGCGUACACGGUGGAUGCCCUGGCAGUCAGAGGCGAUGAAGGACGUGCUAAUCUGCGAUAAGCGUCGGUGAGGUGAUAUGAACCGUUAUAACCGGCGAUUUCCGAAUGGGGAAACCCAGUGUGUUUCGACACACUAUCAUUAACUGAAUCCAUAGGUUAAUGAGGCGAACCGGGGGAACUGAAACAUCUAAGUACCCCGAGGAAAAGAAAUCAACCGAGAUUCCCCCAGUAGCGGCGAGCGAACGGGGAGGAGCCCAGAGCCUGAAUCAGUGUGUGUGUUAGUGGAAGCGUCUGGAAAGGCGCGCGAUACAGGGUGACAGCCCCGUACACAAAAAUGCACAUACUGUGAGCUCGAUGAGUAGGGCGGGACACGUGGUAUCCUGUCUGAAUAUGGGGGGACCAUCCUCCAAGGCUAAAUACUCCUGACUGACCGAUAGUGAACCAGUACCGUGAGGGAAAGGCGAAAAGAACCCCGGCGAGGGGAGUGAAAAAGAACCUGAAACCGUGUACGUACAAGCAGUGGGAGCCUCUUAAUGGGGUGACUGCGUACCUUUUGUAUAAUGGGUCAGCGACUUAUAUUCUGUAGCAAGGUUAACCGAAUAGGGGAGCCGAAGGGAAACCGAGUCUUAACUGGGCGUUAAGUUGCAGGGUAUAGACCCGAAACCCGGUGAUCUAGCCAUGGGCAGGUUGAAGGUUGGGUAACACUAACUGGAGGACCGAACCGACUAAUGUUGAAAAAUUAGCGGAUGACUUGUGGCUGGGGGUGAAAGGCCAAUCAAACCGGGAGAUAGCUGGUUCUCCCCGAAAGCUAUUUAGGUAGCGCCUCGUGAAUUCAUCUCCGGGGGUAGAGCACUGUUUCGGCAAGGGGGUCAUCCCGACUUACCAACCCGAUGCAAACUGCGAAUACCGGAGAAUGUUAUCACGGGAGACACACGGCGGGUGCUAACGUCCGUCGUGAAGAGGGAAACAACCCAGACCGCCAGCUAAGGUCCCAAAGUCGUGGUUAAGUGGGAAACGAUGUGGGAAGGCCCAGACAGCCAGGAUGUUGGCUUAGAAGCAGCCAUCAUUUAAAGAAAGCGUAAUAGCUCACUGGUCGAGUCGGCCUGCGCGGAAGAUGUAACGGGGCUAAACCAUGCACCGAAGCUGCGGCAGCGACGCUUAUGCGUUGUUGGGUAGGGGAGCGUUCUGUAAGCCUGUGAAGGUGGCCUGUGAGGGUUGCUGGAGGUAUCAGAAGUGCGAAUGCUGACAUAAGUAACGAUAAAGCGGGUGAAAAGCCCGCUCGCCGGAAGACCAAGGGUUCCUGUCCAACGUUAAUCGGGGCAGGGUGAGUCGACCCCUAAGGCGAGGCCGAAAGGCGUAGUCGAUGGGAAACAGGUUAAUAUUCCUGUACUUGGUGUUACUGCGAAGGGGGGACGGAGAAGGCUAUGUUGGCCGGGCGACGGUUGUCCCGGUUUAAGCGUGUAGGCUGGUUUUCCAGGCAAAUCCGGAAAAUCAAGGCUGAGGCGUGAUGACGAGGCACUACGGUGCUGAAGCGACAAAUGCCCUGCUUCCAGGAAAAGCCUCUAAGCAUCAGGUAACAUCAAAUCGUACCCCAAACCGACACAGGUGGUCAGGUAGAGAAUACCAAGGCGCUUGAGAGAACUCGGGUGAAGGAACUAGGCAAAAUGGUGCCGUAACUUCGGGAGAAGGCACGCUGAUAUGUAGGUGAAGCGACUUGCUCGUGGAGCUGAAAUCAGUCGAAGAUACCAGCUGGCUGCAACUGUUUAUUAAAAACACAGCACUGUGCAAACACGAAAGUGGACGUAUACGGUGUGACGCCUGCCCGGUGCCGGAAGGUUAAUUGAUGGGGUUAGCGGUAACGCGAAGCUCUUGAUCGAAGCCCCGGUAAACGGCGGCCGUAACUAUAACGGUCCUAAGGUAGCGAAAUUCCUUGUCGGGUAAGUUCCGACCUGCACGAAUGGCGUAAUGAUGGCCAGGCUGUCUCCACCCGAGACUCAGUGAAAUUGAACUCGCUGUGAAGAUGCAGUGUACCCGCGGCAAGACGGAAAGACCCCGUGAACCUUUACUAUAGCUUGACACUGAACAUUGAGCCUUGAUGUGUAGGAUAGGUGGGAGGCUUUGAAGUGUGGACGCCAGUCUGCAUGGAGCCGACCUUGAAAUACCACCCUUUAAUGUUUGAUGUUCUAACGUGGGCCCCUUACCGGGGUUGCGGACAGUGUCUGGUGGGUAGUUUGACUGGGGCGGUCUCCUCCUAAAGAGUAACGGAGGAGCACGAAGGUUGGCUAAUCCUGGUCGGACAUCAGGAGGUUAGUGCAAUGGCAUAAGCCAGCUUGACUGCGAGCGUGACGGCGCGAGCAGGUGCGAAAGCAGGUCAUAGUGAUCCGGUGGUUCUGAAUGGAAGGGCCAUCGCUCAACGGAUAAAAGGUACUCCGGGGAUAACAGGCUGAUACCGCCCAAGAGUUCAUAUCGACGGCGGUGUUUGGCACCUCGAUGUCGGCUCAUCACAUCCUGGGGCUGAAGUAGGUCCCAAGGGUAUGGCUGUUCGCCAUUUAAAGUGGUACGCGAGCUGGGUUUAGAACGUCGUGAGACAGUUCGGUCCCUAUCUGCCGUGGGCGCUGGAGAACUGAGGGGGGCUGCUCCUAGUACGAGAGGACCGGAGUGGACGCAUCACUGGUGUUCGGGUUGUCAUGCCAAUGGCACUGCCCGGUAGCUAAAUGCGGAAGAGAUAAGUGCUGAAAGCAUCUAAGCACGAAACUUGCCCCGAGAUGAGUUCUCCCUGACUCCUUGAGAGUCCUGAAGGAACGUUGAAGACGACGACGUUGAUAGGCCGGGUGUGUAAGCGCAGCGAUGCGUUGAGCUAACCGGUACUAAUGAACCGUGAGGCUUAACCUU